CACCCAUCCGCCCCGACCUCCUCCCUACACAGGCUGCUCUCAUACACCGUUAACAGCUAUACCUACGAAACGUAAUGCACUGUAAUUCGUAUAUAUCCCAUGAAAUCAAUUCGUAUGUAAUCGAUGUAAUAGUGAACCAGUAGUUUGCCCAGGACACGGCUGUUCAUACCCCGUGUGAAACCACAGGUCAA